UACAGAGGGGGCGAGCGUUGUUCGGAAUUACUGGGCGUAAAGGGCGCGUAGGCGGCCAACUAAGUCAGACGUGAAAUCCCUUGGCUCAACCAAGGAACUGCGUCUGAUACUGGAUGGCUUGAAUCCGGGAGAGGGAUGUGGAAUUGGGGGUGUAGCGGUGGAAUGCGUAGAGAUCCCCAAGAACACCAGUUGCGAAGGCGGCUGACUGGACACAUAUUGACGCUGAGGCUCGAAAGCAUGGGGAGCAAACAGG
rnacentral:rRNA from 1 species